rnacentral:RNase_P_RNA from 1 species
CAAGCAGCCUGGGUGGUCGCGGGCGGGGACUCCCGCCUGAGGAAAGUCCGAGCUCCACAGGGCAGGGUGCUGGGUAACGCCCAGUGAAGGCGACUUCAAGGAAAGUGCCACAGAAAUCAAACCGCCGCGGAAGCGGUAAGGAUGAAACGGUGCGGUAAGAGCGCACCAGCAUCCGGGCGACCGGAUGGCUAGGUAAACCCCACCCGGAGCAAGACCAAAUAGGAGGGAUAUAGGGCUGCCCGUCCUUCCCUCGGGUUAGGUCGCACGAGGCCCGUGGCAACGCGUGCCCAAGACAGAUGAUCACCCUCGACAGAACUCGGCUUACAGGGCUGCUUGGUAC